rnacentral:rRNA from 1 species
GACGAACCGUGCGAACGUUGUUCGGAAUCACUGGGCUUAAAGGGCGCGUAGGCGGCUUCCCAAGCCCGGGGUGAAAUCUUUCGGCUUAACCGGAAAAGGGCCUCGGGGACUGGGGGGCUAGAGGGAGGUAGGGGCAAGCGGAACUUCCGGUGGAGCGGUGAAAUGCGCAGAUAUCAGGAGGAACACCAGUGGCGAAGGCGCCGCUCUGGGCCGUGACUGACGCUGAGGAGCGAAAGCGUGGGUAGCAAACAGG